GCUUACGGCCAUAUCACGUUGAAAGCACCGGUUCUCGUCCGAUCACCGAAGUUAAGCAACGUCGAACCUAGUCAGUACUUAGAUGGGUGGCCGCUUGGGAAACCUAGGUGCAGCAAGCG
rnacentral:rRNA from 1 species